UACGGAGGGGGCAAGCGUUGCUCGGAAUCACUGGGCGUAAAGCGCACGCAGGCGGAUUGUUAAGUCAGGGGUGAAAUCCUGGAGCUCAACUCCAGAACUGCCUUUGAUACUGGCGAUCUCGAGUCCGGGAGAGGUGAGUGGAACUGCGAGUGUAGAGGUGAAAUUCGUAGAUAUUCGCAAGAACACCAGUGGCGAAGGCGGCUCACUGGCCCGGUACUGACGCUGAGGUGCGAAAGCGUGGGGAGCAAACAGG
rnacentral:rRNA from 1 species